GCACUGCUGAAGAGUCCUAUAAUCGGACGAAACGGUUGUCCAGCAC
rfam:Schistosoma margrebowiei strain Zambia genome assembly, scaffold: SMRZ_scaffold0000394